CCUACGGGUGGCAGCAGUGAGGAAUAUUGGUCAAUGGGCGCGAGCCUGAACCAGCCAAGUAGCGUGAAGGAUGACUGCCCUACGGGUUGUAAACUUCUUUUAUAAAGGAAUAAAGUGAGGCACGUGUGCCUUUUUGUAUGUACUUUAUGAAUAAGGAUCGGCUAACUCCGUGCCAGCAGCCGCGUUAAAACGGGGGAUCUGAGCGUUUUCCGGAUUUAUUGGGUUUAAAGGGAUGUUAGAGGGGUUGUUAAUUCUGUUGUUAAAGUUUGCGGCUCAACCGUAAAAUUGCAAUUGAUACUGGCAGUCUUGAGUACAGUUGAGGUAGGCGGAAUUCGUGGUGUAGCGGUGAAAUGCUUAGAUAUCACGCAGAACUCCGAUUGCGAAGGCAGCUUACUAAUCUGCCACUGACAUUGAUGCUCGAAAGUGUGGGUAUCGAACAGGAGUAGAUACCCGUGUAGUC
rnacentral:rRNA from 1 species